rnacentral:rRNA from 1 species
UGGGGAAUAUUGCACAAUGGGCGAAAGCCUGAUGCAGCAACGCCGCGUGAGUGAUGAAGGUCUUCGGAUUGUAAAGCUCUGUCUUUUGGGACGAUAAUGACGGUACCAAAGGAGGAAGCCACGGCUAACUACGUGCCAGCAGCCGCGGUAAUACGUAGGUGGCGAGCGUUGUCCGGAUUUACUGGGCGUAAAGGGUGCGUAGGCGGAUGUUUAAGUGAGAUGUGAAAUACCCGGGCUUAACUUGGGUGCUGCAUUUCAAACUGGAUAUCUAGAGUGCAGGAGAGGAGAAUGGAAUUCCUAGUGUAGCGGUGAAAUGCGUAGAGAUUAGGAAGAACACCAGUGGCGAAGGCGAUUCUCUGGACUGUAACUGACGCUGAGGCACGAAAGCGUGGGUAGCAAACAGGAUUAGAUACCCUGGUAGUCCACGCCGUAAACGACGAGUACUAGGUGUAGGAGGUAUCGACCCCUU